rnacentral:lncRNA from 1 species
GGAAGGACUGCCUGGAGGUUAGAGCCCUUGUACGUGUGUGUCUGCUGGGUCUCAGUGUAGACUGGGAGCCUGGCCCUCAGCAUGUGAUGCCCGGCUGGUGGGAAGGUUCUAAAUGGCCUCUGUGAACCCACAAACAACAUCUGUCCAUCAGCACUCCUGACUCAACAUUUCCUUUCUUCUAGGCUGACCAAAAAUGAACUUAAUGAUGAGGCCGCAGAGUGCUUCGCCGAGAUGCUGAGGGUGAACCAGACACUGAAGCAUUUAUGGCUAAUCCAGAAUCAUAUCACAGCUGAGGGGACAGCCCAGCUGGCCAGGGCACUGCAGAAGAAUACCACCAUCACAGAGAUUUGCCUCAAUGGAAACUUAAUUAAGCCCGAGGAGGCCAAAGUCUUUGAAAAUGAGAAGCGGAUCAUCUGUUUCUGAUGGGCAUUCCUGGGCUAGAUCUUUGUCCUGGGUUGUUCCUCAGUUGCAGCCAGCACUGUGCAGCCAGCAGGGAAGCGGGAUGCUGUGCAGGGCCUGCAGCAAGGUGCCUGCCAGGAGCUCACACCUCCACAGUGCAAGCUGACCUCACCUGCAGAUGCUUGGACUGGUAGCACCGGAGCAUGGCUGAGACUGCAGAAACAGAGUGUUUCAUGAGCCAUUGUCACCACUCAAAACAGCAAGGCAUUUUCUGUACUAAGAUCUCCCCUCAUACUGAUUAGUCUGAAGCUGAAGGAACGAAACAGCAGAGGAGGCCAAACUCAGUUCCCACAGAUGCCUGGGGACUCCAUGGGACCGAUGAUGUCACCUUCGGGAAAGAGCUGGGAACUUGAGCAGAGCCAAUGGCAACUUCUUGGGGGAAAGAAGGCACCCGGUGACCACGUGACUAUCCUGAAACCUCCUUCCUCUGCUUAGUACCUCUCACUGUACAGAUCUGUUUCCUCCCCACAGCUGUGGCUGCUGAAGUAGGUCCACCAUGGGGAGGCUCAUCUGAGGACCCACAGGUUGUCAAAGGCUCGUCACAGACUCUGGUUUGGUUGGUUCUGGAUUCUCACUGGCGGCAAACAAGAGUCAGAGAACAUCCUCGAAGUCAGUCUCGGAGGAUCUCCAUGCUGUGAGAGGACUGAGGUCCCACCCAGAAUUUUUACCAAUCUCUGCUGGGUGAAAUCUCUCAGGGAGAAUCAGUUCCCACCCUUCACAGCAGCAGGCACGGCUUGCCUCGAUGGACCUGAGAUCCCAGCAUAACUCUUUCCCCUGCCUGUGAGCAGGAAGUACCUUCACAUCCACAGCAGCGGGAGGGUGACUGACCACAGCUAAGACCUAGAGAACCAGCAAAGCAUGCCAGACAUCCACCUCCGUCCCAUGGUGGGCAUUUGGGGAUGCCGGUGGGGUGGGACGGUUGGGAUGUUGCCAGAUAACAUGUUCUUUUGCCACUUCAUUUGUUAAUAAAAUAUUAAAAAUGCUCACUGUUUCUAA